rnacentral:rRNA from 1 species
GACGAACCGUGCGAACGUUGUUCGGAAUCACUGGGCUUAAAGGGCGCGUAGGCGGGCUGCCAAGUCUGGGGUGAAAUCCUUCGGCUCAACCGGAGAACGGCCUCGGAUACUGGCGGUCUUGAGGGAGGUAGGGGCGUGCGGAACUAAGGGUGGAGCGGUGAAAUGCGUUGAUAUCCUUAGGAACUCCGGUGGCGAAGGCGGCACGCUGGACCUUUUCUGACGCUGAGGCGCGAAAGCCAGGGGAGCAAACGGG